CAUUGUUUAGUUAAACAUUCAACUUCGUAUUUCCUUAUUUUUUCAUAAAGUUCUGGACGUUUCCAAAACAACAUUCCUCCAAUGAACUCAACAAAAGAGAACAAUCCAUCUAAACUAAACAGAUAACAAUCUAUUUCACAGGGUACUAGUCGAAUACAUGGAUGAUGCCGAUGCAGAUUCAUUGAAAAGUGCAGCUGAGUUCUUGAUGGACAAUCUUCAAGAUCCAGUAGCUAUAGUACUAGGUUCCUGUCCUGGGGAAGGAAAAGUGAGUUUAGUUGCAGCAUUUACACCAAGUGUUGUCGAUCUGGGAGUACAGGCAGGAAAGUUCAUAGGAUCUAUAGCUAAGUUAUGUGGUGGGGGAGGGGGCGGUAGGCCCAAUUUUGCUCAGGCAGGUGGAAGAAAACCUGAGAACUUGUUGGAUGCACUUGAAAAUGCUCGAUCAGAGCUCACCCGGAUUCUAUCGGAGAAAGCAAGCUAAAACUCAUCCGAAUCACAAACGUCGAACACAUUGGGAGCAUUGGGGCCUGGAACUUGUAUCCUUGAAACUGUCUGUGGGAGAAGGCUACAGUUGUUAAAUAACCGUAGCCUACAAAUUGGUACAGUUUCUUUGGAUGAAUCAAGUAUAAAAAUGAUGAAUUUUGAGAGUUUCUUGUUGCUCCAUGGUUAUUGAUUCUUUGAAUGAAGCUCUUAUACAAAUUUGGAAAAAGAAAAAGAAAUUACAAAAAUGAUAAAGAAAGAAAGAAAAGAAAACUAUAAAAUCAAUUCAUUAUUGACAUAUCAUUAUAAAAUUAUAUAUACCUACACUUCGGGAUUGUAUGAACUCAACCUAAACUUUGGUCAGUAUAUGAAUUUUGUCUAGAUAAACAUUAUGUGAUAUGUUUAAUUUUGAAGUAAACUUCUAAACUUUCAAAGUAAAUCAUUUUAGACUUACAGUUAAGAUGUUCUCAUGUUCUAAAUGCUCGUUUCCUUAACUUGACAUUUGAAGGUUGCAAACAUGUGAGAAUUAAAUUUAUGGACCAUUUUUAAACGUUAUGCAUAAUACUGUCUAAAUUUGUUUACUUGUAACAAUUUUAGAAUUUAAUUGAAACUAUUAUAUAUUUUGCAUUAUAUUUUUCUAAAUUUGAAAGAAGCAUGUUAAGAGACACUUGUCAAAGUUUGGACAUAAAAUUGAUACAAUCUCGUUAGUUCAAUGCUAAAAUUAGUGCAAAUUCGAAACUUUGUGUUUCUAAUUUUUUUUCUUCUAAAAUAUUAUUGAAUUAACAAAAAGUUUCUAUUAGUACUUCUUUUUAUUAUUGUAACAUAGACAACUUCAACCAUCAGACAGUUGUGUAAUUUUUAUUUUUUUUCUUCCUAAAGUCUGUCCAAAGUUUUUAUUAGACAUUGAUUUUUCAUUCAUUUCUCAACUAGUUUUUAGAUCUUAUAGCAUUACAAUUGGCUUUAAACUAUUGAAUGAAUUUGAUAUCUAUGUACCAAGUUGUUGAUCAAAAUGCAUUUCGGACUAAAUAUUUUUGACAAAAAUACGUGUCAUGCUAGCUUAAAAAUUCGAAAAGAAAAUGUUAAAACUUUUCUAAAUCAUACAAUACUUUAUAUGCCUAGUACACAUUGAAUAACUAAUCUUAUCAUUAGCCUAAUUAUAAUAAUUUGAAUCAUACAAAAAUUUAAGCUUGCAAGGUAAAGUGAAAAUUCCUUAAAUUGGAUCAAAACUUUCAUGCAUACUAUUCAAAGUUGAAUUGAAUUCAACAUUGGAAGGGGAAAGAAAAGUGUAUUUCCAAGAUAGCAUUUUGCAAAAUAUAAAGUACAUUUAAAUAGGUAUUAAUCAUCUAAAAGUCGAGAAAAGCUAAAACAGAAUGGAAAAUUGCAUCAUAUGACAAACAUUUAGAAAAAAAACAGCUCAUGACACCAAUUUUUUGCAUAUUGCGAAUAUGACAAAAUUAGUGAUAUCAGACGGUUUUUAGAUGGUAAUUAUAAGGCUAUCAAAGAGUCAUCACUUCUAAAUUUGCUACUUUUGUAAAUUUAGAAAAUGUGAUGACAUGGACUCUAUUAUCAUAAAACUUUUUUUUUUAUAUUUUUGUAAAAGCCCCAAAGAGAAUUAUAGUGUUGCUCUUGCUACCUAGAAGUCUCAAUUCAACUUUUAUUGUUUGGUACCUUUUGUGGGUUUUUGUUUAGGCUCAAAACAUUGGUUCAAUAGUUGUGGAUCAGGUAUUGUUUGAGAUGAUAUCUACAUUUUUCUUACCAAAAGAAAAAAAAAAGAUAAUUUGAAGAAAAAGAAAUAAGGUUGAUACCUUAUUCUGGUGCCACUAUGAAUACAACCUACUUUGUAGUUAUUACAAUCGUUUUAAAGUGCUACAAAUGAUAUGAUCCAAAUCAUUCAUGUGGAGAUAUCAGAGCGGGGUAUUCUAUACAAAGAGUUUGUAUAAGACCAAACAAUGAAAUGAAUACUCUUUUAUUAACACUGUUACUAGAAGAGACUACUUCACCAGAAUGACCAUAGGUGACUUGACCUAAUUCCUAAUGAGUUAUGAACAUCUUUCUAUGAAGGUGAUCCUUUGUUUUGUGUAAGUGAGAGUGACCUAUGUUGCCGACUCAACAUGCCUACCAUUUUGUGGAUCCGUUUGAUUUGGAGCUAGAAAUACAACUACAUAAGAAGGAUUUUCUCUUAUUCUCUAUAAAUAGAGUAAGUAGAGAAAUUGCUUUCUUAAGAGUUAGAACAAUGUGGUACCAUACACUCUCUUGGCUUGAGAAAUGGUGUCGUGUCAUUGAUACACAAGAAGGAAUUCACUCAUUCUCUAUAGAUAAAUAAAUAGAUACACUGGUUUGUAAAUAUUGUAAAUGCUGGGGAAGCGCGCAUUAAGGUUCGUUAUAACUAUUAUGGUUUUAUCAGAGCGUAUGUCAGUAUAAAAGAUAAAAAAAGAAUGAUCCUCCUUUGUUGUACAAAACUUCUCCAUGAUCCAUGGAAAGGGAUUAAUAGAAAAAGAAGUAAAAAAUCAUGAAUCCUUGGAGAGGCAGGCAACGAUGGACUUUGAUGAACUCAACCCUUAGUGUGAACUGUUUUAAUUUGUUGAAAACCUAGCAGUUCCACCGGAGAGUUUUGAAUUCAAUAAAAUGAAAUUUAAUGUUGAUGCGCCUUCCAAAGAAAAUCACACUAAGGCCAAGGAAGUUAAUGAAUCAAACCAGCCAAUCCAACAAAGAAAGAGAAAGGGAUAGAGAAAGGAAAAGCUUUAUUGAUAGCAAAUGAUAACAACAUGGACACAGGUGACUCAUCAAUGCAGGUUUUAAUGGAAGAUAACAAAAAGACACAGAAGGCGGGUUCAAAGAGGAAAGUGGUUUUCACUUCCCUAAUAACGAAACUCACCUUUACACUCUAGGGUUCAAAGAGGAAAGUCAUUUUCAAAGCAAAUGAUUGCCAAAACCCAACUAGGAAGUGACAAAGGAAGCCCCCAAGAAACACAACCAUUAAUUUCCAUGAAAGGACCACAACAACAAAAUAUUUAUAAAGUCAAACAAAAUGGUUCUCCUUCAGUGAAAGAGAAAAUUUCUCACCUAUCACAAUUCACCUACAGUAAAAAUAUUGAAAAGGAAGGGAAUUUGAUUAUGGAUUUAAACAGCAAAGGGUUGAAGCUAAACUCAGGCAGCUCAAAGCUUCAAAAAUUCGAUAGAUUGUCUCUCUCCUAUCCCAGAUAUUAUUCUCCCUCAUCACUCUCAAGACAUGAUUCGUUAAAGCCUAUCAGAACACAAAAUUCAAAAACAGUUUAAAUCCAGCAAGCAAAAGGAAAGAAAACUAGACUAAGGGAUUGGUAAAAAAAGAACAAGCUCAAACUCUUGCCAGUGUUGUAAGAAAUUGACUCAUCAACAGAUGCAGAAGCAGAAACUGUGAAAUUAAUUGGAUCAUUUUUAUGAUGGCUCAAGCAACAAAAUUGCAGGAUCUUUUGUUUUGAAAUGUUAAGGGUUGGGCUCUCCCCAAAAAAAGAGCCCAAAUAAAAGCAGUAAUUUUAAAUUAUGAUCCUCAUGUUGUCAUUCUUACUUAAAAUAAACUCCAAAAUAUUAGCAUUCAUCUCAUCAAAUCUCUUUGGAGAAAAAAAAAAAAAAAAAACAAUUAAAUGGCAUUUGAGAGUUUCAUCUGUUAGUUCUGGAGGCAUUCUGGUUGUUUGGGAUGAUGUUCAACAUUCUUGUAUUCGUAACUUUGAAGGUUCUUUUACACUCUCCCUCAAUUUUUAAGGAAAAGUCAAAAUCCAUUGUAAAUCUUUAGGGAGAUGUGUGAAAUCUCAUAGGAGUUUGGUCUAAGUGUCAUUGGUACGACGCCUCCGUUCUUUCUCUUAACUUUAGAGCUUUGUUAGAUUAGGUUGUUCUAGACUUCACUCUAGCCUUCCAAGCUUGUAACUUUUCUCUUCAUUAAUAGAUUUGGCAUGCCUUUCUAGGGCUCUUCCUAGAUUGAUUUGACUUGAUUUCUUUAUAAAAAAGAAUUAAACGUUCAUUCUUAGAAAUUCUUUCUUUCUUUUUUUUACACAAAUUUAUGUUCUUUCAAAUUCUAAGCUAAAUGUUGAAAAUAAAAUAAAAUAUUAGAUUUAGAAUACAAAUUUAAAAAAUAAAAAAACCUUCACAACACCACUCACAUAAUCCUUCCCCCAAACAUAUCUUAUCAUAACUCUACCCACAUAAUUCUUCCCCGAACACAUCUUAUCAUAAUACUACAUUCAUAAACCUUUCCCCCAAACACAACUCAUCAUAACACCUCUUUUAUCAUAACUCCAACCCUUUGAUAAACCAACCCUUUUUCCAAACAGCCCCUAAGUGUUUGCAUGUCGUGACACAUGGAAACCACCCAAUGACAAGGCUCUAAACACCUAAGGCACUCCUUUAUUCGCCUAACCUCCAAACCAUCUCACAUAGCCUACACCUAACUCGCAUGAGUUAGUAGGUCGCAUGCCUCAACGCAUAGAGGAUCCCUUGACACUUCUUGUCACCUAGUUUUUCCCACAAAAACCUCUUCUCUCAUGCUUUCAAGCCCUUGGCCGCAUAGGCAUCUCGUCUAGUCCUUAUCUUGUCCGCAAGGCACAUCUAACUGUCUAGUAUGCCUUGCUUGGUCGCAUCUAACUGUCUAACUGUCUAGCUUUGUUCUUAGAGGUUAUUUAGACAACCUUGACCACUUAGUUUAACCUCAAAAUGCCUAAUAUCAUACAAAACACAUAAUAUCAUGCAAAAUGCCCCACCCAUACUUUGGCUAUCUACUUGACACUUUGCUAAUUUUUCCAAAUUUUCGUUCGUCCAACAACCAUAACACUCUUAUAAUGACACACUAAGAAUAAGAAACCAACGAUGACACUUAGGCCACUACCACAACUUAGUAAACCUUUUUUUAACCUUUUUUUGAACUACUACUUCAACUAAUCUUGAAUCUAGCUUAUCCAUUUGUUUGAUCGGAAGGCUAUAGUUCAAUGUUUACAAAUUUUUAGUUACAUUUAAAAAAAAAAAAAUUACAACCAUCUUGCAACUCCCAAAAUUGAAUUUUUAACUCCAAUAUAUGCAUGUUUUAGGCAUUUUAAAGAUAUAAACAUGUUUUAGCAAGUUUUUAGUUAUAAAAUUUUUUAACUCCAAAUCAAUUUUAAGCACGUUUUAGCUUAUGAUUUGUUUGUGAGAUAUUUGCGAUAUAGCUAAACAUUCAUUAAAACAUGUGUAAUUUCACCUUAAAUCACAUCUAAAUCACUUAAAACAAUUAUAGUAUGUAAUCGAGAUUUUAAAACUACUCUAAAUCACCUAAGCAAGCAUGACGUAUUUUUAAGUUUGAAAGUUGAGAGAUCUCUGUAAGAUGUUGCAAGAUUAAAAAAAAAAGUAUCUAAGAUCCUAUCUUAAUAUGUCUAAACUCAUCCUAAAUCACUUAAAACACAUAUAAGAAUGAUUUGGAAUUGGCUGUUUUCAAGUUUGGAAGUUGGAAACUUACUCCGAGAUAGUGUGAGAUAUUGCAAAAUAAAAUAAAAAACCACCUAAAAAAUAUUUACAACAUGAACAAAACAACCCAAAAUCAUAUAAAUGUUCCUACAAUUAAAAUGGUGGAAAGGGAAAGAAGGAGGACAAUUGUCAUUAAGAAAUUAAGGCAUGAGAACAAUUUUCGCAUUUCACUAUUUAUUUAUCCCAAAACUCGACUUUUUGAAAUGUUAUCCUACAACUUUUAGACUCCAUUGAAAAUGUCUUACUCUUAGUAAUUACCCAAUUUUCAUCGUCGUAUUGACAUUUUAAUAGAAUACUUUUAUAUAUUUUUUUUCAAGUUGGUGAAUAAACAUUUCCAUUAUAUUGUAAUUUUUUUUUAUUAAAAAACCAAUAAAAUAUCAAUUAUAUGUGUAUAAUAUAAAUAAUUAAAAUAUUUUUUAAAAAUAUAACAAUGAGGAAAAUUAUCAAUUUACACCCCUCAACUUUGGAUCAACUAGCCAAAAACUUCUAUAAAUGUAUCCAUUUAAAAACUUACAUGAUUCUAUUAAUUUAAACUCUCUCUUAUGUUUUAUUUAUAUACAUUUAUGAAAGUUGAAGAUUUAAAUUGAUAUAUUUACGAAAGCUUGGAGUUUUAAUUGAUACACUUAUAAAAGUUCAUAGUUUAAAUUGAUAUAAACUAUUAGAUUAGAGUUUAAAUUGAUACAACUAUACAAUUAUUAGUUCAACGUUUAAACGAGUACAACACAUAGUUGAGAAGUAUAAAUUGAUAUUUACCUUAGUAAAUAUUUUAACUUAUUCUUAAAAGCAUAGAAUACUUAUUUAUUAAUUAAAAUAAUUAAUAUGUUUAUUUUUUAGUGAUAUUUAUUGACAUUGAUAAUUUUCUUUUGUCUGAAGUUAAAAUUGUGACGUUUUCGCCAACAUUCAAAUUUAUUCAAAUAUUAAAAUAAACAGAGACUACGUCUUAAUAAACAGAUGCAAAAGUAAUAUAAAAACAAAUCGAUACUACAUCUUAACGAUGGGAUGCAAAAUUUAAAGAAUUAUAGUCAAUGAAAAGCAGUUAAAAAACUGAUAGUCACAUCUUAUACCAACAAAAUACAUCUUUUUUGAUACGAUAUUUUAGUCAUAAAAACUUCAAAGUUAUAAAUUGUUUGGUUUGGAGCAAUUUUAUAUUCGAUAAACACUUAAAAUAUUUUUAGGGAGCAUGUGAUGAACAUUGACAAAAACGUCUUGGAAAAAAUGCAACUUCAAACUUGAUCAAUUUGAAAUUUUAUCAUGCUUCCCAAAUUGUACAGGUUUUCUAUUCUAGUACACAUUCAAGUUUCAAAACUCAAAUGUAUGGUAAAAGGAAAAACAUAAUGAAAAAAAUGGAUUAUUUGAAAAAUAAAUAAAUUAAAAAGGUCUCUUACUCAACUGCGAAAAAGUAAACUAAAGAGUGGUAAGGUAUUCUUUUGUUACCUUUGAAACCAUUUUUGUUAUUUAACAAUUUUCAAUAAAUUUUUUUUUAAUUUAAUUUAUUAUUCAAAGUAGGUAUGGAUAUAUUUCUAAAUUAAUAAAAAUAUCUAUAGAUACUUGGAGGCUAAUUUUUCAAAAAAGAAACCAACAGCAAUGACUAUUUUAAGAUUUAUUGAAAUGACUGAUACUUUUGUAACUAAUAAUUAAAUAUAUAACAUUAUUUUAAAAAAUUACAAAUAAAUCAAAAUAUAUUUGGGUUAAAAUCUAUAAUUAAGAAAUUCUUAUUAGUAAUAGAUUUUUAUGGUUGAUAAACUUUAUAGAGUUAGAUUUCAAUUUUGCAAUAUCUACAAAUUCUUUGCAUUAUAUUAUAUUUUGGUAAUACAUCAGAGUUCGUUGGUAUAUUUGUCAUUGUUCACUUAAUAAAAAUAUAAAAAUUAAAAUGGACAUUUAAAACCAUAAAUCGAAAUAGAUAGUUGAAAACUAGUCUACGACUAACUUACUAUUUCUUUUUGAUUUGUUUACUAUUUCCUACCUAGACUAAAAUAGUUUGCACAACAAUAAAUUGAUAAGAACAUAUACUACACUUGAUCUUAAUCAAAAGGUCAAGAAAAGUCUACAUUUCAGAUGCAUACUAUUACCAUAACCUAUAAACUAUAAUAAAUUUGAACUAUAACAAUCAGUUCCAACACCCAUAAAAGAUAUUUAUAAAAAGAAAAAAAAAAUGCAUGUAUUAAAAGAAAAUAAAAGCUCAAUGAAAUAGUGACAGAGGAGGAUAAUGGAGAUGAGUUCUGCACGUGUUUGAACAAUUUAGCCACCAAGUAAUGAUUGUUUUCAAUCAGAAACAAGACUGAUAGAAAGAGUCUUAAGACAGAGCACUGUUGUUUUCAGACUCUAUAGGGAUACUAGACUUGAAGACUAUCUUUAGACUUUUGGGGAAACAUAAAUUGACACUAAAAAAUAGAAAAACAAACAAAAAAAAAGAAGAGUGGGGCUAUUCUUUUCUUUCUAUGUCAUUAGUUUUCCCUAUUGGAUCAUUUGCACAUGUGACCCUCUUCAAUACGAAAUCAUCCUCACCCUUCAUCUGUUCUUGACACGUACCACACAUAUCGACACUACCAAAUUCUGUUCCACCAAAACUUUAAUAAUAUAAUGCAUAUUGGGCAGAGAGUGGAAAAUUCAUCCCAUCUACUUAUUCCCCCAUUAAGGUUUUCUUUAGCCUAAGCUUCUCCCUACACAUUUUUAUAGUUGUUUUUUCACGUCGGUCUCAACUCUAAAGGAAUUUAUGCCUCGUUGACAUGUCAAGAAGUUGAGUUCAUAGCUAAUAGGUAAAGAAAACUUUUACUUUUGGUGUGUUCUGGUGAUCUGUUGGUGAGAAGUAUAAGUGGACUAGAGACUCUCAUACGAGUAUGGGAAAGAUUCUCGUCUCUUUCUUUUCCUCUUAUAUUUCGUUAUAUCCUCGUUUGUUCAAGUACAAUGUAACUGACAAAGUAAUGGUAAAGAACAAACCAAGCAGGGGAAAAUAGUUUUUUAAUCCAAUUUUCUAUACAUAGUUAACUACAUACUAAACUCUUUUUUCCCUCUUUUCUUUUUAAUAUUUUUGAAUUCUUAUUACGGUGUGAUUAGAGUGGGGUGCCAAGGUUCAAGUAUUGCUAUUCUUUUCCUCCUCAUUUUCUCAUUUUUUAGAACUCUCUUUUUUCUUUUUUUUUUUCAGAUUUUACUGACUUUUUUCUACAAAAUGGCGUUAAUAUAAAGCGGCUAUUCCCUGUCAUCCGAGUGCCCAAUAUCAGAGUGAAAUAGAAGCCCUUCCUUAUAUGUAUAUGUUUUCAUAUCCACAUGUAUUUACUAAUCAUGUAGCUCCUCUAGGCACAAUCCAGAGCAGUGAAAUGGAAGGGGAGGUAGUAAAGUCCAGGUUCAAAAGGGUUUGUGUGUUUUGUGGGAGCAGCACAGGAAAGAGGGACUGCUAUAGAGAUGCAGCCAUUGAUUUAGCUCAGGAGCUGGUACUGCUUUGAAAACCUCUCUUAAUAUCACCCAUUCACGAAAGCCAAUAUGUCUUUUUCACUUUCCCCCUUCCUCCCUUUCUACGUGUAUAUACAAUUAUGCUGUUGUUUCUCUAUGCAGGUUUCCAGAAGAUUGGGGCUUGUUUAUGGAGGUGGAAGCAUUGGGCUAAUGGGUCUGGUUUCACAAGCUGUUCAUCAUGGUGGCGGCAGAGUCAUGGGGUAAUUGAUCGAAAAAGCUUGAAUUUCUAUUCUGAAAAUGGUUUGAUGUUUCAAAGUUUUAAUUUUACAUCUGUUUGUUUAAUUUGUUUGGGUUUGGUUGAUUUGCAGUAUCAUUCCCAGGACAUUAAUGAACAAAGAGGUUAGAAAUAUGCCAAUAUCCUAAUUUGUUUUGGGUAAUUGAAAAUUCAAUCAGCCAACACUUAACUUGUUAUUCUACAAAAUGAUAAUUUCUUGGGGGAAAAAUUACAGAUAACUGGAGAAACAGUGGGGGAGACAAGACCAGUAGACAACAUGCACCAAAGGAAGGCAGAAAUGGCCCGCCAUUCAGAUUGCUUUAUAGCCCUACCAGGUCCCAACCAUUCCCUUUUCCCUUUCCUAUUCAGAAACACAAUCCCGCACUUCUUUUUUACAUUUCUUUUCAUAGUCCCCUUUUUAAAAAAGACCCCUGAUAAUGGGUUUCAUUUUCCCUUCACUGCACUGAUUUUCAGGUGGGUAUGGAACUAUGGAAGAACUGUUAGAAGUCAUCACAUGGGCUCAACUAGGCAUCCACGACAAACCAGUAAACUCUACAAAAAUUACCUCAUUAAACUCUGCCAGAAAGCUUUGUUUUGAUCUCACGACCUUUAAGUUUGUUGUGCAAUUUCUCUUCCUCAGGUUGGGUUGCUGAAUGUGGAGGGCUACUACAACAACCUCCUCACUUUCAUCGACCAAGCAGUGGACGAUGGUUUCAUAAAACCAUCACAACGCAAGAUCAUAGUGUCAGCACCCAACGCCAAGGACCUGGUUCAGAAACUAGAGGUCAGUCAUUAAGUCAGACAUUUCAUCGAACACAACUUCUAAAUUCUACGAUUAAAUUGUAAGCAGAGUAUUUGACUAAUGAUGAUCAUGGAUUGAUUUAUUUAGGAAUACGUGCCUGUACACGAGGAAGUGAUGGGCAAACCGAGAUGGGAAAUUGAGCAGCCACAGCCACAGCAACCGAAAAACCAAGUGGGGUUCGAACCCAAAACUUUCCACGCUCAGAUCGCCCUGUAAAGUUGAAACAUGAAAAGAAAGG
rnacentral:lncRNA from 1 species